UACGUAGGGUGCAAGCGUUGUCCGGAAUUACUGGGCGUAAAGCGCAUGUAGGCGGCCUAGCAGGUCGGAUGUGAAAUCCCUCGGCUCAACCAAGGAAGUGCAUUCGAAACCGCAAGGCUGGAGUCCCGGAGAGGAUGGUGGAAUUCUCGGUGUAGAGGUGAAAUUCGUAGAUAUCGAGAGGAACACCGGCGGCGAAGGCGGCCAUCUGGACGAGGACUGACGCUGAGAUGCGAAAGCGUGGGGAGCAAACAGG
rnacentral:rRNA from 1 species